rnacentral:rRNA from 1 species
GACAGAGGUGCCAAGCGUUAGGCGGAAUCACUGGGCUUAAAGCGUGUGUAGGCGGAUCGUUAAGUGCUUUGUGAAAUCCCACGGCUCAACUGUGGAAUUGCUUGGCAUACUGGCGAUCUUGAGCCACUUAGGGGCAACUGGAACAAACGGUGGAGCGGUGAAAUGCGUAGAUAUCGUUUGGAACGCCAAAGGUGAAAACAGGUUGCUGGGAGUGUGCUGACGCUGAGACACGAAAGCCAGGGGAGCAAACGGG